CGUAUAUGUUCAAACAUGGGGGAACAAGGUCAACUGGUUUGGAAAUUCUUUGUUCCAGUAUAUGCUGUGGUCAUUCAGCUAUAUACAUAAAAGGAGUAUUCAUCAUUCAGCUGUUUGACUCCUUAUUCUUAAAUCACCAGAAUUUUCAAGGCUUUGUCUCGUUUUUGUUCCUACCAUCAGGGAAACUUUUCCUCCAUAGGGUCUUGUUUUUUUUCAGCUCUGCUGAUCUUGAGUCUUCUCUCAAGGUUUUUGGGGGACAAUUACCUCGGCCAAAAAUUUUGUGAGAACUUCAAGCUCUUAAUUCAGUUUUUUCAUCAGGACAAGGUUUGUUCUUCAUCUAUCAUUAUUUUACCAACUUUGGCCAACAGCCUUCUAAGGCUUUAGAAGUCAAAUUCCAC